CCGAGUUUACAACUCCCAAGCCCCUGUGAACGUACCUUUAUGUUGCCUCGGCGGAUCAGCCCGCGCCCCGUAAAACGGGACGGCCCGCCGCAGGAAACCCUAAACUCUGUUUUUAGUGGAACUUCUGAGUAUAAAAAACAAAUAAAUCA
rnacentral:misc_RNA from 1 species